UGGGCGCAAGCCUGAUCCAGCAAUACCGCGUGUGUGAAGAAGGCCUGAGGGUUGUAAAGCACUUUUAAUCGGGAGGAACAUCUGAUGGCGAAUACCCAUCAGUCUGACAUUACCGAUAGAAAAAGCACCGGCUAACUCCGUGCCAGCAGCCGCGGUAAUACGGAGGGUGCAAGCGUUAAUCGGAAUUACUGGGCGUAAAGCGUGCGUAGGCGGCUGCUUAAGUCAGAUGUGAAAGCCCCGGGCUUAACCUGGGAACGGCAUUUGAUACUGGGCAGCUCGAGUUGAGUAGAGGAGAGGGGAAUUUCCGGUGUAGCGGUGAAAUGCGUAGAGAUCGGAAGGAACACCAGUGGCGAAGGCGCCUCUCUGGACUCAAACUGACGCUGAGGUACGAAAGCGUGGGUAGCAAACAGGAUUAGAUACCCUGGUAGUCCACGCCGUAAACGAUGUCAACUAGCCCGUUGGUCUUAUUCGUAAGAUUCGUGGCGCAGCUAACGCGAUAAGUUGACCGCCUGGGGAGUACCGGCCGCAAGGUUAAAACUCAAAUGAAUUGAC
rnacentral:rRNA from 1 species